rnacentral:SRP_RNA from 1 species
CCGUGCUAGCCGGGGAGUUAGCGGUGCCCUGUAACCUGCAAUCCGCUGUAGCAGGGGUGAUGCCUACCUGAGGCCUUAUCUUUUUAAGGUCUGCCCUUUGUAAGUGGCGAUGAGAAUCGGGUCUCACGCAAUAGAAGUUUACGAACCGUGUCAGGUCCGGAAGGAAGCAGCACUAAGUAAAUGUCUCUAUGUGCCGUGAGGGUGCCUAGUUUGAGCUAACUGCAAAGGUUACGCUUGGGGAGAAUUGUCGAAGGUAGGUGCACGG